UAUUAAAAAUUUUAUUUAUUUAUAUUAUUAAAAAUUGGUAUAGCUGGUGGAAUAACUAGAAAAAAUACAUAUGAUGUGAGACAUACAUCUCAUGCUCAUUACCAACUAGACUAAUUUUUAAUAGUAGAAAUAAAUAGAAUUUUUAAUA
rnacentral:pre_miRNA from 1 species